rnacentral:sRNA from 1 species
GCUUGGUUUGCCAAGGGUCACCGUGAAUCGUGGCCCGAUGCGGUUGAUCCAUCGAUCUGCUACAUCGUUGCACCUCGCUUCCUCCUUGCAACCAGCACGCGAUGCUCGCGUUAACAACACCUCGUUCCAAGGAGAGAGUAACGAUGUCCAAAGAAACCGGAACCGUUAAGUGGUUCAACGAUGCCAAGGGUUUUGGCUUUAUCAGCCGUGAAAAUGGCGAAGACGUAUUCGUGCAUUUCCGUGCUAUCCAGUCCCAGGGCUUCAAAAGCUUGAAGGAAGGCCAGAAGGUUUCCUUCACCGUCGUGCAGGGCCAGAAGGGCCUGCAGGCGGACGCGGUCGAACCGCUGUAAUACGACACGGACAAGCCCGAUCGCGACGCUUCGCCGCGCCGCAUCCGCGUCAGAAGAACCCGGCCCAGGCCGGGUUUUUCUUU